GUGCCAGCAGCCGCGGUAAUACGGGGGCCCCUAGCAUUAUCCGGUUUUAUUGGGCGUAAAGAGUUCUGUAGGUGGUAUUGUAAGUUAAAGGUUAAAACCUCCGGCUCAACCGGGGAAUCGCUUUUAAUACUGCAGUUCUAGAGGCAAACAGGGGAAAGUAGAACGCAUGGUGUAGUGGUAAAAUACGUUGAUAUCAUGCGGAAUACCGAAGGCGUAGGCAGCUUUCUGGGUUUGACCUGACACUGAGAGACGAAAGCGUGGGGAGCAAAACGGAUUAGAUACCCGAGUAGUCC
rnacentral:rRNA from 1 species